GACGAAGGUGGCGAGCGUUGUUCGGUGUCACUGGGCUUAAAGCGUGUGUAGGCGGAAUAGUAAGCGUCUUGUGAAAUCCCUCGGCUUAACCGAGGAAUUGCUUGGCGAACUGCUAUUCUUGAGGCAAGUAGGGGUGCACGGAACUCUUGGUGGAGCGGUGGAAUGCGUAGAUAUCAAGAGGAACGCCGGAGGUGAAAACGGUGCACUGGGCUUGUCCUGACGCUGAGACACGAAAGCGUGGGGAGCGAACGGGAUUAGAUACCCGUGUA
rnacentral:rRNA from 1 species